AGAAGCUGGCCAAUCAUGAGCUCAGUUCCACCUGGAGCUCCGCCCAAUACAGAAAACAGGCCGGUCUUUUGGAGACUUGUGAAGGAGCUCACUGUCCGUUUAAGCUUUGAACGUAAAUGAGCCUAGCAGCAGACUAAUAAAUCUAGGAAGAGCAAUGAAAAACCCUUCAACUAUGAUCCUUGAAGUCUAUUGGAGAGAGAUACAAACAAAAAAUCUUGAAAUAGCCAGACAGAGUGGCUCAGGCCAGCAGCUUGGGAGGCUGAGGUAGGAGGAUCAAAAGUUCAAGGUCAGCCUCAGCAAUUCAGCAAGUCCAGACGCAAUUUAAUCAGAUGCUGUCUCAAAAUAUAUGCCUGGCUCAGGACCACCCCACGGAUCCGCAUGGGACCCCAGGUCCAGGCUCUGGCCUAGGACCGCACUGAGGACAUGCAGACCCCCACAGGACCAUAGCCCUGGCCUAAGACCAUCUCAAUGGCCUGGGUGAGAGCCAAGGAUAAGUUCUAGUGAAAAGCCAGCAUCUACCUCAGAGCAAAGCCUGUCCAAGGAAGGGGACGUGACCCUUGUCCUUGGAAAGACCCACAGAGCACUCCUAGGCACAUACCCACCCUGCUGAGUUUAUCUAAAAAUAACCAGAGAGAUCUGUGAGCCAGGUGUCCCUGACUCAGUCAGGCUAGGUGGAGACCCAUAGCAACCCCCUAGCAGCCACCAAUCAGCAUAAGACAGGGAAAUACCUGGGAUGCCAGAUGACCUUCCCAGUAGUUUAUGGUGGUUGAUAACAUGUUGGGAAACCAUGUAGUUCAGCAGUACUCCCCCUCAUGGCUUAAACCAAUCAGUUCAAAUGAAUCCCCCUCUUGUAGUAACCAAUCACCCUUACUCAACUUGUUCCCACCAGUGGAUGUGCUAAUCAUGUUUUAGAGUUGUUUUAUGAUUUUCCAGCGGUGUGUGAUGAUUUGCUAAGAGAGGCUAUGAUGUAUGUGAAGUCCCUGCCUUCCCCAAAGAGUGUAUAAAACUGCUGCAAAACUUGGGCUCAGGGCCUCUCAGCGUCACCAGUUGCUGUGUGCGCACAGAGGACCGAACUAGCUCACAAUAAACACCUCUUUGCUGCUUACAUCAA